rnacentral:misc_RNA from 1 species
GUGAAUCAUCGAAUUUUUGAACGCAAAUUGCACUCCCUGGUAUUCCGGGGAGUAUGCCUGUUUGAGGGUCGUUAGAAUAAAAAAUCGAGGCGUCGCUCUUUUUUUUUAAGGUUGAUCGCGUCGGAUUUGAGUCGUCUUUAAUUUUUAUUUCUUGUCAAAGUGGCUAAAAAUUUAAUCAAUCCGUUACGAUAAAAGCUUAUUUAAGAUAAAUUUUGUU